CCUAGGGACCAGAGGUAUCUCUUUCUCUUCUACUGUAUGUUUUGGCUGAGAAGUAUAGGAAAACCCUGGUGAUGUUCCGGUAUAGGAUUUCUGUGCAAGCCAUUCUGGAGAAACUAGAACUGUACAGCUUGCUGGGCAAAUACCAGUAAGUCUCCUACUUCUCUGGAGCCUAAAGCCAAUGAGUUUCCUACUCCAGACUUCACUACUAAUGAUGGAAAGCAGUUGAAAGAAGAAGAACAAGGGGACCAAUGGGUUGGGUUUCCUUAGUGGGCACCAGAAUGAAAAAUCGCAGUUGCAUCCUAGGAGCAGCCAUAUUCUGGAUCCCUUUGAACAGACAUGCACAUGAACAGAUCUACAUGACCAUACAGAACUUUCCCUGCUUCUUCCCGUAGCUGGCCUCCAAUGGACUCCUAUGCAUUUACUGUCUUCCUUCAACUUGACUGUACACUCUUAGAUGGCCAUGCAAUAAAUGUGCUCUCAUUAAUUUAA